CCCCUGGCGGUCUUUUCAUUAGAAAUGCCGUAUUUACACUUAAUGUGUUGUAAAUGUAGUAACAACUUGAAUCUGAAGGCUUUGUCAGAAACGCAAAACCCAGAUUCAAAUUGCAAAAUGGCAACGUUUCGUGCGAGUAUAUAUUGCGCAGUCUCGACGCCUCUAAACUGUCUAUCUCCCUAACUGUUUUGCGCACGCGACGGACUAUAUUAUCCGCAUGCAACCGCCCUGAAAAGGAAUAUCUCUGAAGGUAUUGAACCGCAAUGACCGCCAUAAGAGAGGGGACCUAGUCACUUGGUAGCGGACUGUUUUUUCAUGAAGUAAGACCGGCUACCAGGAAAAUGCAUGCUUUACCUUACUACGGGAGAGAAAAUGUUUUAAAAAACUUUGCCACCAUAAUUGUCUUAUUCUCGCCAAUCCAAACGACCAACAUGAUUUCCACCAAGUCUUCUUACGGGUACCAUUUGCACCCUCUAAGCUAUGGGUACCAUUUGUACCCCCUAAACCCAAGACAAACGAUGCCAGUUUUUUGAAAAAGGUUUACAUAAGGAAAGUGACAAAUUUCUUUUUUACUAACGAGCGAUAAGAUAUUGGGCUAUUCCAAUUAUUAUCUGCACCCCCCCCCCCCUGUUCAGGAACCUUGGAAUUUCCAGGGGAGAGGGUGCACUAACUUUCAAAUUUUCAGGCGAGGGGAACAUUAACCUUGGAAUUUCCAGGGGAGGGGGUGCAUUAACCCUGGAAUUUCCAGGGAAGGGGACUUCAGGCUCUGGAAUUCCAGGGGAGGACUAAUUCUCACAUGGAAUUUCCAGAGGGAGGAGUAAAUUUAAUGGAUGGAAAUUCCAUGGGAGGACAUAUAUAUUAGACGGAAAUUUCCAGGAGUAAAUGUCCAUGAUGGAAAUUCCAUAGGGAGGGGUAAUUUACACAUGGAAAUUCCAUGGACACGGCCAAAUUUUGAAUGGAAAUUCCAUGGGGAAGGCCUAAUUUAAAACGGAAAUUCCAUGGGCAAGGGUAAUUUUUACAAG